GAUGAACGCUAGCUACAGGCUUAACACAUGCGAGUCGCGGGGCAGCAUGGGGGUUGCUUGCAAUCCCCGAUGGCGACCGGCGCACGGGUGAGUAACGCGUAUCCAACCUGCCCUUCACCACGGGAUAACCCGGCGAAAGUCGGACUAAUACCGUAUGUUGUCCAUUGACGGCAUCCGAUUUGGACGAAAGGUUUGGCGGUGAAGGAUGGGGAUGCGUCCGAUUAGCUGGACGGCGGGGUGACGGCCCACCGUGGCGACGAUCGGUAGGGGUUCUGAGAGGAAGGUCCCCCACACUGGAACUGAGACCCGGUCCAGACUCCUACGGGAGGCAGCAGUGAGGAAUAUUGGUCAAUGGGCGUAAGCCUGAACCAGCCAAGUAGCGUGCAGGAUGACGGCCCUAUGGGUUGUAAACUGCUUUUAUGCGGGGAUAAAGUGGCCCACGUGUGGGUUUUUGCAGGUACCGCAUGAAUAAGGACCGGCUAAUUCCGUG
rnacentral:rRNA from 1 species